UUGCGGGGUGAGACGUCGGAAGUCGCGCAGAAUAAAAUAACAACUCACACUAUCUCUUAACAUUCCAAGUGAUCUUCGAAUGCAAUCAUGUCAUGCAAUAUGCGAUCUUAAAGUAAUAUAGAAUUCGUGCGUUGUUUGCAUGUUUUUGUUUUCGGGUUUAUCAACAUCACCUCAACGCCGAACUUUUUGUGCGCAAGUCCGGCGCAGGAAGCGGCGCAGCGAAACAAGUUAACGCGCAACGCACGCUCAGCAUCAUCAUUCAGUGCGCGACAUUGUCUGCAGUUACACCUCCGCUAAUAACAUUGUCAAUAAUUUAUUAAAUCAGUAAAAAAGUGUUGCUACCAAGUGAAAAACAUUCCUCGAGGCACUCACAAGUAAGUUUCUUGCAUUAUUUUCAUUUCGCAUUUUGAUUAAAUCUGUAAUUCGUAAAAUUUGCACGCUGCAUUGUUUUAUGCGGCGUUAGACGCGUAUUUGUAAUAUGGCCGCUAUUCAAACGUCGUUUUCACGUUCGUAACCACCAAGUUGCAUCAUCACAUAAAUCAAAUCAUGUACUUGCAAUGCGUCUAAUUGGAAUAUUCGGAUGUAAUUUUAUUGUGCAAUCGACAUGUGGUAUGGGGUGACCGCAGUUUCACCUUCUCGAAGUGUACGCGGCGAAGUUAUCAGCUGUUUGUUUGCUUUUCACAUGUUUCAAACGGUAACUUGUAGAGUGCCAAUUGUGCAGCACUGCUAACACAAAGAGACGCCAUGUUGUUGUUUUGAAUUUAACAUUCCAACAUUCCAACUCCAUUCGGCACUGCUGAUAACGCACACUUAUUUUUAUUUUCUAGCCUUACAUUUAUCAUUUACUUAUUCUUUAGUAUUUUGUUAUAUUUUAAUUCUGUUUUAUUUUCUGUUUAUUGCGUGCGACGUUGUUGAUGGUGCAUUACGAUCGGUUUCUCAAUCCACUUCUUGAAAACGUUCCUGUUUUCCAUCGCAGAUGACAUUUCAAGGUCACCCACAAGAUGUCCAGAAUUAGUCUUACUUUCCCAAGAAUGGAAAAAGGUACAUAUUCGAUAUAUUGGGGCAUUUUUGUAAUUCGGGCGCGUUCGUUUUCGGUUUAUGUACUUUUUGUGUCUACUAAUAUUUCACACCUUCAUGUUUUAAGUAACUACCUCUUAAUAUUUUUAUUACUUUAUUAUUUUCUAAUUCUUUUAAUAUUCUUAUUUUUCAUAAUUUAAAAAAAUCCUUGCCAAUUUA